rnacentral:rRNA from 1 species
GGGGGAUAUUGCGCAAUGGGGGAAACCCUGACGCAGCAACGCCGCGUGAAGGAUGAAGGUUUUCGGAUUGUAAACUUCUUUUAUUUAGGACGAAGAAUGACGGUACUAAAUGAAUAAGCUCCGGCUAACUACGUGCCAGCAGCCGCGGUAAUACGUAGGGAGCAAGCGUUAUCCGGAUUUACUGGGUGUAAAGGGUGCGUAGGCGGCUUGGUAAGUCAGAUGUGAAAUGUAUGGGCUCAACCCAUGCACUGCAUUUGAAACUAUUGAGCUUGAGUGAAGUAGAGGUAGGCGGAAUUCCCUGUGUAGCGGUGAAAUGCGUAGAGAUAGGGAGGAACACCAGUGGCGAAGGCGGCCUACUGGGCUUUAACUGACGCUGAGGCACGAAAGCGUGGGUAGCAAACAGGAUUAGAUACCCUGGUAGUCCACGCUGUAAACGAUGAUUACUAGGUGUGGGGGGUCUGACCCCUUCCGUGCCGGAGUUAACACAAUAAGUAAUCCACCUGGGGAGUACGACCGCAAGGUUGAAACUCAAAGGAAUUGACGGGGGCCCGCACAAGCAGUGGAGUAUGUGGUUUAAUUCGAAGCAACGCGAAGAACCUUACCAGGUCUUGACAUCGAGUGACGAAUCUAGAGAUAGAUUUUUCCUUCGGGACACAAAGACAGGUGGUGCAUGGUUGUCGUCAGCUCGUGUCGUGAGAUGUUGGGUUAAGUCCCGCAACGAGCGCAACCCUUGCUAUUAGUUGCUACGCAAGAGCACUCUAAUAGGACUGCCGUUGACAAAACGGAGGAAGGUGGGGACGACGUCAAAUCAUCAUGCCCCUUAUGACCAGGGCUACACACGUGCUACAAUGGCGUAAACAAAGGGAAGCAGAGCCGCGAGGCCGAGCAAAUCUCAAAAAUAACGUCUCAGUUCGGAUUGUAGUCUGCAACUCGACUACAUGAAGCUGGAAUCGCUAGUAAUCGCAGAUCAGAAUGCUGCGGUGAAUACGUUCCCG